AUUGGGUCUAAAACUAAACCCAUGCACGUCUAAGUACAAACUAAAUGAUGGUGAACUGCAAAUGGCUCAUUAUUUCGGUUAUGAUGUACCCGGGAGUUCCGAUGGAUAUUUCCAGUAACACUAGAACUAAUACAUGUCCCUGCGUUUAUUAGUUUCGCACAGUCCGUCGCUGAGUCAUGGUAAACAGUUGAUCGACUCGACGUCCCGGAACAGUUUCCGCCCCAUCAGCUUCGAUGGUUGGGUAUUGGCCUACCAUUGCAACAACGGGUAACGAGGAAUUAGGGUUUGAUUUCGGAGAGGGAGCCUGAGAAACGGCUACCACAUCUACGGAUGGCAGCAGGCGCGCAAAUUACCCAAUGCAGACACUGUGAGGUAGUGACGAGAAAUAAUAAAGCGGGACUUCUGUUUCGCUAUUAUAAUGAGGAAUAACCAAAGGUCAUUCCGAUUAGCAACUGAUGGGAAAGUCUGGUGCCAGCAGCCGCGGUAAUACCAGCGUCAGU
rnacentral:rRNA from 1 species